UGCAGUCGAGCGAACAGACGAGGAGCUUGCUCCUCUGACGUUAGCGGCGGACGGGUGAGUAACACGUGGAUAACCUACCUAUAAGACUGGGAUAACUUCGGGAAACCGGAGCUAAUACCGGAUAAUAUAUUGAACCGCAUGGUUCAAUAGUGAAAGACGGUUUUGCUGUCACUUAUAGAUGGAUCCGCGCCGCAUUAGCUAGUUGGUAAGGUAACGGCUUACCAAGGCAACGAUGCGUAGCCGACCUGAGAGGGUGAUCGGCCACACUGGAACUGAGACACGGUCCAGACUCCUACGGGAGGCAGCAGUAGGGAAUCUUCCGCAAUGGGCGAAAGCCUGACGGAGCAACGCCGCGUGAGUGAUGAAGGUCUUCGGAUCGUAAAACUCUGNUAUUAGGGAAGAACAAAUGUGUAAGUAACUAUGCACGUCUUGACGGUACCUAAUCAGAAAGCCACGGCUAACUACGUGCCAGCAGCCGCGGUAAUACGUAGGUGGCAAGCGUUAUCCGGAAUUAUUGGGCGUAAAGCGCGCGUAGGCGGUUUUUUAAGUCUGAUGUGAAAGCCCACGGCUCAACCGUGGAGGGUCAUUGGAAACUGGAAAACUUGAGUGCAGAAGAGGAAAGUGGAAUUCCAUGUGUAGCGGUGAAAUGCGCAGAGAUAUGGAGGAACACCAGUGGCGAAGGCGACUUUCUGGUCUGUAACUGACGCUGAUGUGCGAAAGCGUGGGGAUCAAACAGGAUUAGAUACCCUGGUAGUCCACGCCGUAAACGAUGAGUGCUAAGUGUUAGGGGGUUUCCGCCCCUUAGUGCUGCAGCUAACGCAUUAAGCACUCCGCCUGGGGAGUACGACCGCAAGGUUGAAACUCAAAGGAAUUGACGGGGACCCGCACAAGCGGUGGAGCAUGUGGUUUAAUUCGAAGCAACGCGAAGAACCUUACCAAAUCUUGACAUCCUCUGACCCCUCUAGAGAUAGAGUUUUCCCCUUCGGGGGACAGAGUGACAGGUGGUGCAUGGUUGUCGUCAGCUCGUGUCGUGAGAUGUUGGGUUAAGUCCCGCAACGAGCGCAACCCUUAAGCUUAGUUGCCAUCAUUAAGUUGGGCACUCUAAGUUGACUGCCGGUGACAAACCGGAGGAAGGUGGGGAUGACGUCAAAUCAUCAUGCCCCUUAUGAUUUGGGCUACACACGUGCUACAAUGGACAAUACAAAGGGUAGCGAAACCGCGAGGUCAAGCAAAUCCCAUAAAGUUGUUCUCAGUUCGGAUUGUAGUCUGCAACUCGACUAUAUGAAGCUGGAAUCGC
rnacentral:rRNA from 1 species